UACGUAGGUGGCAAGCGUUGUCCGGAUUUACUGGGCGUAAAGAGCGCGCAGGCGGUUAUUCAAGUCGAAUGUGAAAGCCCCCGGCUUAACUGGGGAGGGUCAUUCGAUACUGUUUAACUUGAAGGCAGGAGAGGGUAGUGGAAUUCCAGGUGUAGCGGUGAAAUGCGUAGAUAUCUGGAGGAAUACCGGUGGCGAAGGCGGCAUCCUGGACCGACAUUGACGCUGAGGAGCGAAAGCUAGGGGAGCAAACGGG
rnacentral:rRNA from 1 species